rfam:Alligator mississippiensis ScZkoYb_3.1, whole genome shotgun sequence.
UUCCCUGGUUUCUCUUCACUAUACAUAAAUCUUUCGCAUUUUAAUAAAGAUUUCCAUAGAGAGAAACAGUUACAAAUCUUGAACCAAAUUUUUGUUAAAACACCGACCUUUGUGUUUU